AGAAUCAACGCUGGCGGCGUGCCUAACACAUGCAAGUCGAACGAGAAAGUGGAGCAAUCCAUGAGUAAAGUGGCGCACGGGUGAGUAACACGUGACUAACCUACCCUUGAGUGGGGGAUAACCUAGGGAAACCUGGGCUAAUACCGCAUAAUACCUUCGGGUCAAAGGAGCAAUUCGCUUAAGGAGGGGGUCGCGGCCGAUUAGUUAGUUGGCGGGGUAAUGGCCCACCAAGACUGUGAUCGGUAUCCGGCCUGAGAGGGCGCACGGACACACUGGAACUGAAACACGGUCCAGACUCCUACGGGAGGCAGCAGUGGGGAAUUUUGCGCAAUGGGGGAAACCCUGACGCAGCAACGCCGCGUGGAGGAUGAAGUCCCUUGGGGUGUAAACUCCUUUCGAUCGGGAAGAUAAUGACGGUACCGAUAUAAGAAGCCCCGGCUAACUUCGUGCCAGCAGCCGC
rnacentral:rRNA from 1 species